rnacentral:rRNA from 1 species
UGUAGUCUCGCACAGAUGCAUAUCAAUAAGCGGAGGAAAAGAAACUAACAAGGAUUCCCCUAGUAACGGCGAGUGAAGCGGGAAGAGCUCAAAUUUGAAAUCUUAAAGGGUUUCCCUUUACGAAUUGUAGUUUAAAGAAGUGUUUUCUGUUGAGGUUUUGGUAAAAGUUCUUUGGAAUAGGACAUCAUAGAGGGUGAGAAUCCCGUAUUUGACCUUUACUUUCAACUUUGUGAUACACUUUCAAAGAGUCGGAUUGUUUGGGAAUGCAGUCCAAAAUGGGUGGUAAAUUUCAUCUAAAGCUAAAUAUUGGCGAGAGACCGAUAGCGAACAAGUACCGUGAGGGAAAGAUGAAAAGAACUUUGAAAAGAGAGUUAAACAGUACGUGAAAUUGUCAAAAGGGAAGCGUUUGACACCAGUGUUGUUUUCUCGAAAAUCAAUUAAAAAGAGUUUGAUUUUGUUGUGUAUUGACCUUAACAGCUUGCAUUUCAAUUUUCUUGCUUUUUUUAAUGCACUUUUCGUUUAACAAGUCAACAUCAGUUUCUUUUGUUGUAAAAAGGUCAUUGGAAGGUGGCUUUCUUUUCGGAGAAAGUGUUUAUAGCCUUUGACUCCUGCAAUCGGAGAGACUGAGGUCUGCAGCGUAGAUCCUUCGGGGUUAGAUACAUUUGUGCUAAGUUAUAGCUUUUUAUAGACAACUUGUUGACUAUGAUUAGUCUUGUAGCUUACUCGCUUAUGCUAUUUUACCUACGCUUAGGAUGUUGAGCGCAUGUCUCUCUCU